UNCCNNCUCUUGNNUCNNCNGAAUUCGGCAGAGAUGCCUUAGUGCCUUCGGGAACUGUGAGACAGGUGCUGCAUGGCUGUCGUCAGCUCGUGUUGUGAAAUGUUGGGUUAAGUCCCGCAACGAGCGCAACCCUUAUCCUUUGUUGCCAGCACGUAAUGGUGGGAACUCAAAGGAGACUGCCGGUGAUAAACCGGAGGAAGGUGGGGAUGACGUCAAGUCAUCAUGGCCCUUACGAGUAGGGCUACACACGUGCUACAAUGGCGUAUACAAAGAGAAGCGAACUCGCGAGAGCCAGCGGACCUCAUAAAGUACGUCGUAGUCCGGAUCGGAGUCUGCAACUCGACUCCGUGAAGUCGGAAUCGCUAGUAAUCGUAGAUCAGAAUGCUACGGUGAAUACGUUCCCGGGAA
rnacentral:rRNA from 1 species